UGGGGAAUUUUGGACAAUGGGCGAAAGCCUGAUCCAGCAAUGCCGCGUGUGUGAAGAAGGCCUUCGGGUUGUAAAGCACUUUUGUCCGGAAAGAAAUCCUUGGCUCUAAUACAGUCGGGGGAUGACGGUACCGGAAGAAUAAGCACCGGCUAACUACGUGCCAGCAGCCGCGGUAAUACGUAGGGUGCAAGCGUUAAUCGGAAUUACUGGGCGUAAAGCGUGCGCAGGCGGUUUGCUAAGACCGAUGUGAAAUCCCCGGGCUCAACCUGGGAACUGCAUUGGUGACUGGCAGGCUAGAGUAUGGCAGAGGGGGGUUAGAAUUCCACGUGUAGCAGUGAAAUGCGUAGAGAUGUGGAGGAAUACCGAUGGCGAAGGCAGCCCCCUGGGCCAAUACUGACGCUCAUGCACGAAAGCGUGGGGAGCAAACAGGAUUAGAUACCCUGGUAGUCCACGCCCUAAAACGAUGUCAACUAGUUGUUGGGGGAUUCAUUUCCUUAGUAACGUAGCUAACGCGUGAAGUUGACCGCCUGGGGGAGUACGGUCGCAAGAUUAAAACUUAAAUGAAUUG
rnacentral:rRNA from 1 species